rnacentral:tRNA from 1 species
AGCCCGGUGGUGUAGCGGCCCAGCAUUUGGGGCUUUGAACCCCGAGACGCAGGUUCGAAUCCUGCCCGGGCUA